AUGGACUCCUCUUCGUCCUCGGUCCCUGCUGCUGCGGCUGCGGAGGGGGCGCCUCCGGCGGGGGAGAAUCUGGCCGUGUUCUGGCACGAGGGCAUGCUGGCCCACGACGCCGGCCGCGGCGUGUUCGACUCGGGCCGCGACCCGGGCUUCCUCGACGUGCUCGACCACCACCCGGAGAACGCCGACCGCGUCCGCAACAUGGUCUCCAUCCUCCGCCGCGGGCCCAUCGCGCCCUUCCUCUCUUGGCACUCCGGCACCCCCGCCCACGCCAGCGACCUCCUGUCCUUCCACUCCCCAGAAUACAUCGAGGAGCUCGCGCAGGCGAAUGCCAGUGGACCCAAGAAGUUAUGUGAGGGCACUUUCUUGAACCCUGGUUCAUGGGGUGCCGCGCUUCUGGCUGCCGGAACAACCUUAUCAGCUACGAGGCACAUACUAGAUGGGCAUGGGAAGAUAGCCUACGCAUUGCUGGCUCUGGAUUCUGGCCGCGCAAAGGUUGCCGUUGUUGACAUAGAUGUGCACUAUGGAAAUGGUACUGCGGAGGGCUUCUAUUGCACGGACAACGUGUUGACAAUCUCUCUUCACAUGAAGCAUGGUACUUGGGGUCCUUCGCAUCCGCAGAGUGGCUCGUCUGAUGAGAUUGGGGAAGGCAAGGGGCUUGGGUACAAUCUCAAUAUACCUUUGCCUAAUGGCAGUGGGGAUAAAGGCUAUGAGUAUGCAAUGAAUGAAUUGGUUGUCCCGGCGAUUGACAAGUUUCAACCUCAGCUUUUGGUUUUUGUCAUUGGCCAAGAUUCUAGCAUGUUUGAUCCAAAUGGAAGACAGUGCUUGACCAUGGAUGGUUACAGGAAAAUUGCACAACUAAUGAGGGGUGUGGCUAAUCGACAUAGCGAUGGGCAAAUGUUGAUUGUCCAGGAAGGGGGUUACCACAUCAGUUAUUCAGCAUACUGUCUGCAUGCGACACUAGAAGGCGUUCUGAAUCUUGAGGCCCCGUUGCUGGAUGACCCAAUCGCAUACUAUCCAGAGGAUGAGAAGUACACCAUGAAAGUUGUCGACGUCAUGAAGAAAUGCUGGAAAGAAUCCAUUCCAUUCUUGAAGGACAUUUAG
rnacentral:rRNA from 1 species